rnacentral:rRNA from 1 species
AUUGAACGCUGGCGGUAUGCCUUACACAUGCAAGUCGAACGGUAGAGGGGCAACCCUCGAGAGUGGCGAACGGGUGAGUAAUACAUCGGAACGUGCCCAGUCGUGGGGAUAACGUAGCGAAAGCUACGCUAAUACCGCAUACGACCUGAGGGUGAAAGCGGGGGAUCUUCGGACCUCGCGCGAUUGGAGCGGCCGAUGGCAGAUUAGGUAGUUGGUAGGGUAAAGGCCCACCAAGCCUGCGAUCUGUAGCUGGUCUGAGAGGACGACCAGCCACACUGGGACUGAGACACGGCCCAGACUCCUACGGGAGGCAGCAGUGGGGAAUUUUGGACAAUGGGCGAAAGCCUGAUCCAGCAAUGCCGCGUGCAGGAAGAAGGCCUUCGGGUUGUAAACUGCUUUUGUACGGAACGAAACGGUCUGGGUUAAUACCUCGGGCUAAUGACGGUACCGUAAGAAUAAGCACCGGCUAACUACGUGCCAGCCGCCGCGGUAAUAC